rnacentral:rRNA from 1 species
UCCUACGGGUGGCUGCAGUCGAGAAUCUUCGGCAAUGGACGCAAGUCUGACCGAGCGACGCCGCGUGCGGGAUGAAGGCCUUCGGGUUGUAAACCGCUGUCAGUGAGGAGGAAGGCCGUGUGAAGAGCAUGGUUUGACCUAUUCGCAGAGGAAGUGUGGGCUAAGCUCGUGCCAGCAGCCGCGGUAAGACGAGCCACACAAACGUUAUUCGGAAUUACUGGGCUUAAAGGGUGCGUAGGCGGCGCGGAAAGUUGGGUGUGAAAUCCCUCGGCUCAACCGAGGAAUUGCGCUCAAAACUACCGUGCUCGAGGGAGAUAGAGGAGUGCGGAACUUACGGUGGAGCGGUGAAAUGCGUUGAUAUCGUAGGGAACACCGGUGGCGAAAGCGGCACUCUGGAUCUCUUCUGACGCUGAUGCACGAAAGCUAGGGUAGCAAACGGGAUUAGAUACCCUGGUAGUCCAA